UCCAAAAACAUUAUAUAUUCCCUUGAUAUAUAUUGUGCAAGAAAGCAAAGAUGGUGAGAAAGGAAACUAUGUUGGUUGCUUUCACUUGCCUCCUUGUGGUGGCAUCCAUUGCUGUGAGUGCAAAUGCAACAGCAGCUCCUCGUCUGCUGGCAACCGAGCAAGUGUAUUAUCCUCAAGGUUGUCGCUGCUGCUUGUUUGUCGGAAAGGUACCAAACAUUCGCUGUGCACGAACAUGCUGCAGUAGCCCUAAAGGAGAGAAUUGUUGCGUCGCAACAUAACAAAACAACGAGGUGUGGAUGUGGCAGUAUCUAUGUGCUUGCUUACAUUGUCUUCUGUUGCAGACCAAAUAAAUUUACUAUAUGCUGAGAAUAAUUUGAGGAAUAUUGGAGCAUCGUUCUGCAACAUGCAGAAGUUCUUCACUCUUCUUCUACCAUUCUGAAUGAGAGGCUCUAUCAUUUGUAAUUUUACCUUUUUGUUAUCGAAGAAUUUACCCGCGUAGUAAUGAAUACCUAAUGCGACUUUUUGUUA